CCUACGGGUGGCAGCAGUAGGGAAUAUUGCACAAUGGGGGAAACCCUGAUGCAGCAACGCCGCGUGAAUGAUGAAGGUUUUCGGAUUGUAAAGUUCUAUUAUCAGGGAAGAAGAUAGACGGUACCAAAGUAUAAAGACCCGGCUAACCCUUGGCAGGCAGCGCGGGGAAACUGUGGGGGGGAAGCGUUAUCCGGAUUUACUGGGGGUAAAGGGAGCGUAGGCGGCGUUGCAAGACUGAAGUGAAUCCCCGUGGUUUAACCGUAGAACUGCUUUGGAAACUGUAAAGCUUGAGUACUGGAGAGGUAGGCGGAAUUCCUGGUGUAGCGGUGAAAUGCGUAGAGAUCAGGAGGAACACCAAUGGCGAAGGCGGCCUGCUGGACCGAAACUGACGCUGAGGCGCGAAAGCGUGGGGAGCAAACAGGAUUAGAUACCCCAGUAGUC
rnacentral:rRNA from 1 species